CUCAAAGUAAAGCGAAGAGCCGUAGCUGGAGGGACUGCAUAGCAUUGUUGGACAAAUAUACACCUGACAUUCUCGACUAUUUAUAUGUUACCAAUGACACCGACCCCGCUAUUAAGAGUGAGGUGGAAAGCAUUGCCCGCAGAUUGAAACAGGCGUUCAAUGCAAACCCUUCAAAACAGCAGCUCGAUUGACAAUGCUGUGCGACAAAUCUUACAGAAAAAGUUGAAAGAAGUGCCAUUGCAAAUAGGAUACCCGGACGCGCUAUUGAACAUGUCAGUGCUUGAAACUCGCUACCAAUACGUACCAUUCUUCCCUUGGAAUAUUUCAUUCACAGAAGCCUUGUACCACAUUCAAGAAAAC
rnacentral:lncRNA from 1 species